rnacentral:rRNA from 1 species
UUUCCCUACGGGGGGCAGCAGUCGGGAAUAUUGCGCAAUGGAGGAAACUCUGACGCAGUGACGCCGCGUAUAGGACGAAGGUCUUCGGAUUGUAAACUAUUGUCGUUAAGGAAGAGAAAGGACAGUACCUAAGGAGGAAGCUCCGGCUAACUACGUGCCAGCAGCCGCGGUAAUACGUAGGGAGCAAGCGUUAUCCGGAUUUAUUGGGUGUAAAGGGUGCGUAGACGGGUUAAUAAGUUAGUUGUGAAAUCCCUCGGCUCAACUGAGGAACUGCAACUAAAACUGUUAGUCUUGAGUGUUGGAGG